rnacentral:sRNA from 1 species
CUUGGCUGUCUCUGGGAGCAGGGCUGGGGUACCUGAGUGGGGUGCAUUUGGGGUGUGUGGGAAGGAGAGGGAAAGAAAGAUGGACAGUGGGACUCUCCCCUAGCAGGGUCUGGUGUUCCGUAGGCUAGAGUGCCCCUCUACUCUGCGAGUGCUGGGCGGGAGGGGAGUUGGUGAGAGCUGGAGACCCUCAGGAAGGGCUGGCAGAAGCCUUUCCUUUUGGGUGCUGUCAGGUCCGCAUGUCUUGGCGUGUUGACCUUCACAGCUUCUGGCGAGGGGAGGAAUGAUCUGGUGCGGGUGGGGAGGGUUAGAGGAGGCCUCAGGCCUAAGGUGGUGCAGGGGGCCCCCUAGGGGCUGGGCAGUGCCAAGGCAUAAAAGCCUUCCCUGAUCCCUGGUGGCAUUUGAAGGUGCCCAGGUGAGAGGGGCUUGGCACCUCCUCACCCUGGGAGGGAGAAGAAACCAGGGAACAGGUAGGAGUGGGAGACAGGUGAGGCUUUGGAAAUCUAUUGAGGCUCUGGAGAGAUUUGUGUAGAGAGGAAAAUGUGGUUCUCCCCCAGGGUCUCCUCCUGGGUUUUUACCCUCUAAGCAACCUGUGGGCAUGCUGGGUUAUUCCUAAGGACUAGAAGAGCUUGGAUGGGGGAGGGUGGUUGGUGCCCUUCGGUCCUCGGCACCCCCCUCCGUCUCCAACACCAGCUCACCCUGGUAUUUGUCAUGUCAGCAGGAGAAGGUCACCAUGUUGUUUUUCUCGCCCCUAGUCCUUCCUUCCUGCCCCAGUCCAAAUUUGUCCUCCUAUUUGACCUUAAUACUUACCAUGGCUUUGGACCAGGGAAUCAGGGGGAUAGUGAGAGCAGGGAGAGGGAAGUGUGGGGAAGGUACAGGGGACCUCGACAGUGAAGCAUUCUGGGGUUUUCCUCCUGCAUUUCGAGCUCCCCAGCCCCCAACAUCUGGUUAGUCUUUAACUUCCUCGGGUUCAUAACCAUAGCAGUCCAGGAGUGGUGGGCAUAUUCUGUGCCCGUGGGGACCCCCGGUUGUGUCCUGUUCGACUCAGAAGACUUGGAGAAGCCAGAGGCUGUUGGUGGGAGGGAAGUGAGGAGGGAGGAGGGGCUGGGUGGCUGGGCCUGUGCACCCCAGCCCCUGCCCAUGCCCAUGCCUUGCUCUCUUUCUGUCCUCAGUGGUCCCAGGCUGCACCCAUGGCAGAAGGAGGAGGGCAGAAUCAUCACGAAGGUGAGUCCCCCUGGCUGUUGGAUGGGGUUCCCUGUCCUCUCAGGGGAUGGGUGGAUGGCCUAAAUCCUUUUUCUUCAGAACUGUGGGGAGGAAGGGGAAGGGGCACAGGAAUAUAAGGAUCAAGAAAGAAAGAGCUGGGCACCAUGAGGUUCACCCUCAGUUUCGUGAGGACUCUCUGCUGUUCAGGUCUCUGCUAGAAGUAGGACUUGUUGCCUUUUUCUUCUGCUCUUUCCAGUAAAAUUUUAUUUGGAGAAGGAGUCGUGCGCACAGAGCAGGAAGACAGUGUUCAGGGAUCCUAGGUGUUGGGGGAAGUGUCCCUUGUUUCCCCUAGCUCCCAGGGGAGAGUGGACAUUUAGUGUCAUUUCCUAUAUAGACAUGUCCCAUUUGUGGGAACUGUGACCCUUCCUGUGUGAGCUGGAGGCACAGAGGGCUCAGCCUAAUGGGAUCUCCCCUCCCUUCCCUGGUUUGCAUUCCUUUGGGGGUGGAGAAAACCCCACUUGACUAUGUUCGGGUGCUGUGAACUUCCCUCCCAGGCCAGCAGAGGGCUGGCUGUAGCUCCCAGGCGCCCCGCCCCCCUGCCCAACCGCGAGUCCGCCUGCCUUUUGUUCCGUUGUGGUUUGGAUCCUCCCAUUUCUCUGGGGACACCCUGGCUCUCCCCACCACUGACUGUGGCCUGUGCUCUCCACCUCUGGGGAGGGAAGGCCCUGGGGUCUUCCUUCCCGCGAGUUUCCCUGACCUAAAUCUGGCGUGGCUGGGUAGUGGCCAGCAGUGGUGAUGCCCAGCCUGUUCUGCCUCCUCCUUCCCCACCCCAGGAGCCCUUUCCUUGGCCUAGGACCUGGCUUCUCAGCCACUGACCGGCCCCCUGCUUCCAGUGUGCCACUUACCCCUUCCAGCUUCCCAGUGGUCUCUGGUCUGGGAGAGGCAGGACAAAUGGUCUUUGUUUGCUGGAGAAAAGGUUGUCUGCGAUAAAUAAGGAAAACCACGAAAGCCUGGUUGUUGGAGUGUAUGUGUGUGCUCCCCCAGGCAGUGGAGGCCAGCCCUCCUUGGAGGGGCGGCUGCCUGAUGAAGGAUGCGGGUGAGGUUCCCCCCCUCCACCUCCCAUGGGACUUGGGGAUUCAUUCCAAGGGGAAGCUUUUUGGGGGAAUUCCUACCCCAGGUCUUUUUACCCUCAGUUACCAACCCCUUGCCCAGGCCAGACCUUCCUGCUAUCCCCUCCUGGGCCACAAGCCUGGCCCUCCUCUGUCCCAAUUGUGAUGAAGGGGCAGUUCAAAACUUCUUGAUUAGUCAUCUUCUCCCCUAUCGACUUGGCUUUAAAAAAUGACCUUUUCAGACUUCUGGUCUCGUUCACUCUUUUUGAUGAUGCUUUGCCGUAACCCUUCGUGGGUAGAGAAGGAUUCUGUGCCCAUUGGUGGUCUGGAUAAAAGAAAUAGAGACCUCACAGGAAGCAGUGGACUGGCCUGUUUCCCCACUGUUCUUUCUGUUUUCACACCUGUGGCCUUCUCCCCACCUUCUUCCCAAUCAACCUGUUGUGUACAUAGCCCCCCUCGUUGUCCUUUAUUCUUCUGGAAAGCAGACCUUGGAGGGAGGAGUGAGGGGGAGGCUCAGCUGUGGUCUCUGGGGGGUGGGGGUUGGGAGCUGGGGUGGAAGUCCACGAGGCAUACACUUAAGAUGCUUUGGUGAAGUUCUAAACUUCAUAUUACCCAGGCUGAAAAAAGAGCACUUGUUCCUAGGGCUGGAAAUGGAAGCCAAAACACCACCUUUUCAGCCUGUUUCAGCAUCUUUAGAGAUCAGUCCAACCCACUUACACAGUUGAGCAGAGUUGGAGGCCUAGAGAGGGGAGGGACUGGCCCAAGGUCAUACCAACUCAUGGCCAGAGCCUGGGCCUCCUCACUAGCCAGGUGUUAUUUCUUCCCUCUGUGUAGGGAACCUAUUUCAGGGACAGGAUUGCUAUGUGGUAGUGGUGGUGGGGUGUGAUAGGCGUGGCAGGCUGGGCCACAAUUUGGAGUAGUCAUGCCAGAGUCCUGCAUUUAUUUAUUCUCAAGGGCCCCGCCCCUGUGGCCCAGAAUUACCCCUUCAUGCUCCAGUGCACCCCAGGCUUCGCGGCCAGCCUGGGAAACUGUCUCUACCCUGGUCUCCCUUCAGAUCAGCUUCUAGAAAUGUUUCGUGGCUACAGUGGCAGCACUGUUUUUUCCAUGAUGCAAGCAGUUUGCCCUCUUGGGCGGGGUUAUCAGUGGCUGGCAGGGCUGGCACAGCGUGUCCGCCCACUGCCACCUGUGGGUUCCAGGAGGGCCCAGCCCCUGUGCUGAUGCCCACCACCUUCUCAGCUCAUGUCUGGGGAAGAGGACUGGCAGGGGGAAAGGUGCCUCCUCCUGAAAGGUGCCUCCUCUGUUUUUGCCUAAUAUAGGCUUGGGAACACUUUGAUGUCAGCUAAUUCUGACUCCUUUACUUACUAGCUGUGCGGCCUUGGGGCAACUUACUUAGCCUCUUUGAGCCUCCUUUUCCCCAUCUGUAAAAUGGAAUCUCAAUAGUGUCUAAUAGUACCAUGUGGAGAAACUUGUGUGAGAUGAUAGCUGUGGACUACUGUACACAGUACUCAGGAUGUAGUAAGUGCUCAAUAAACAGCUGUUGGUAUGGUUGACGUUAUGGUAGUGGUUGUGGGGAGGACGUAGGAAACUGGAGACUAGCUUGGCAAAGCUGGCUCUUCCUCCUUUUAGGGAAAGCUUAGAGCAUCCCCAUGGGGUAUACCCAUACUCAAACUGUCCUCUGGCAUCGAGGUUGGCCCAGGAUUCAGUUCAGCUGUCACAGUGAGGUGGCGGGAUCAGAUGUGGCAGGCCGUGUCCCUUGGAACUUGAGUACAUCGUGUGAUCUCUGGAAUGAAAACAGGCCUUCACCAGUGUUGAUGGUGGAAAGCUUAGGGAAGUGCUUCAAACACAGUAGGAGGGACUUACAUUAGAUUUUGGAAGGACUUGCCUGAUUCGGAAGCUCCAAAGAGUGGCAUUACAGAGCUGGGUGGAGAGAGGGGCUAGCCAUCUUUUGUGUCGCCCACCGGGCUCAUGUGUCGUCGCCUCUCAUGCAGUGGUGAAGUUCAUGGAUGUCUAUCAGCGCAGCUACUGCCAUCCAAUCGAGACCCUGGUGGACAUCUUCCAGGAGUACCCUGAUGAGAUCGAGUACAUCUUCAAGCCAUCCUGUGUGCCCCUGAUGCGAUGCGGGGGCUGCUGCAAUGACGAGGGCCUGGAGUGUGUGCCCACUGAGGAGUCCAACAUCACCAUGCAGAUUAUGCGGAUCAAACCUCACCAAGGCCAGCACAUAGGAGAGAUGAGCUUCCUACAGCACAACAAAUGUGAAUGCAGACCAAAGAAAGAUAGAGCAAGACAAGAAAAGUAAGUGGCCCUGACUUUAGCACUUCUCCCUCUCCAUGGCCGGUUGUCUUGGUUUGGGGCUCUUGGCUACCUCUGUUGGGGGCUCCCAUAGCCUCCCUGGGUCAGGGACUUGGUCUUGUGGGGGACUUGUGGUGGCAGCAACAAUGGGAUGGGGCCAACUCCAGGAUGAUGGCUCUAGGGCUAGUGAGAAAACAUAGCCAGGAGCCUGGCACUUCCUUUGGAAGGGACAAUGCCUUCUGGGUCUCCAGAUCAUUCCUGGCCAGGACUUGCUGUUUUGGUGUGUCAGGGGGCACUGUGGACACUGGCUCACUGGCUUGCUCUAGGACACCCACAGUGGGGAGAGGGAGUGGGUGGCAGAGAGGCCAGCUUUUGUGUGUCAGAGGAAAUGGCCUCUUUUGGUGGCUGCUGUGACGGUGCAGUUGGAUGCGAGGCCGGCUGGAGGGUGGUUUCUCAGUGCAUGCCCUCCUGUAGGCGGCAGGCGGCAGACACACAGCCCUCUUGGCCAGGGAGAAAAAGUUGAAUGUUGGUCAUUUUCAGAGGCUUGUGAGUGCUCCGUGUUAAGGGGCAGGUAGGAUGGGGUGGGGGACAAGGUCUGGCAGCAGUAACCCUUCAAGACAGGGUGGGCGGCUGGCAUCAGCAAGAGCUUGCAGGGAAAGAGAGACUGAGAGAGAGCACCUGUGCCCUGCCCUUUCCCCCACACCAUCUUGUCUGCCUCCAGUGCUGUGUGGACAUUGAAGCCCCCCCCCAGGCCUCAACCCCUUGCCUCUUCCCUCAGCUCCCAGCUUCCAGAGCGAGAGGAUGCGGAAACCUUCCUUCCACCCUUUGAUGCUUUCUCCUAAGGGGGACAGACUUGCCCUCUCUGGUCCCUUCUCCCCCUCCUUUCUUCCCUGUGACAGACAUCCUGAGGUGUGUUCUCUUGGGCCUGGCAGGCAUGGAGAGCUCUGGUUCUCUUGAAGGGGACAGGCUACAGCCUGCCCCCCUUCCUGUUUCCCCAAAUGACUGCUCUGCCAUGGGGAGAGUAGGGGGCUCGCCUGGGCUCGGAAGAGUGUCUGGUGAGAUGGUGUAGCAGGCUUUGACAGGCUGGGGAGAGAACUCCCUGCCAAGUACCGCCCAAGCCCCUCCUCCCCAGCCCUCCUUAACUCCCACCCCAUCCUGCUGCCUGCCCGGGGCUCCAGGACACCCAGCCCUGCCUCCCAGUCCAGGUCGUGCUGAGCAGGCUGGUGUUGCUCUUGGUUCUGUGCCAGCUCCCAAGGUAGCCGCUUCCCCCACACCGGGAUUCCCAGAGGUUCUGUCGCAGUUGCAAAUGAAGGCACAAGGUGCCUGAUACACAGCCCUCCCUCCCACUCCUGCUCCCCAUCCAGGCAGGUCUCUGACCUUCUCCCCAAAGUCUGGCCUACGUUUUAUCACCCCCGGACCUUCAGGGUCAGACUUGGACAGGGCUGCUGGGCAAAGAGCCUUCCCUCAGGCUUUGCCCCCUGCCGGGGACUGGGAGCCACUGUGAGUGUGGAGACCUUUGGGUCCUGUGCCCUCCACCCAGUCUCGGCUUUCCACCAAAGCCUUGUCAGGGGCUGGGUUUGCCAUCCCAUGGUGGGCAGCGUGAGGAGAAGAAAGAGCCAUCGAGUGCUUGCUGCCCAGACACGCCUGUGUGCGCCCGCGCAUGCCUCCCCAGAGACCACCUGCCUCCUGACACUUCCUCCAGGAAGCGGCCCUGUGUGGCUUUGCUUUGGUCGUUCCCCCAUCCCUGCCCACCUUACCACUUCUUUUACUCCCCCCACCGCCCCCGCUCUCUCUCUGUCUCUGUUUUUUUAUUUUCCAGAAAAUCAGUUCGAGGAAAGGGAAAGGGGCAAAAACGAAAGCGCAAGAAAUCCCGGUAUAAGUCCUGGAGCGUGUACGUUGGUGCCCGCUGCUGUCUAAUGCCCUGGAGCCUCCCUGGCCCCCAGUACAACCUCUGCCUGCCAUUCCCUGUAACCCUGCCUCCCUCCCCUGGUCCCUCCCUGGCUCUCAUCCUCCUGGCCCGUGUCUCUCUCUCACUCUCACUCCACUAAUUGGCACCAACGGGUAGAUUUGGUGGUGGCAUUGCUGGUCCAGGGUUGGGGUGAAUGGGGGUGCCGACUUGGCCUGGAGGAUUAAGGGAGGGGACUCUGGCUUGGCUGGGCACCGAUUUUCUCUCACCCACUGGGCACUGGUGGCGGGCCCAUGUUGGCACAGGUGCCUGCUCACCCAACUGGUUUCCAUUGCUCUAGGCUUCUGCACUCAUCUGGAAGCUGAGGGUGGUGGGGAGGGCAGACAUGGCCCAAGAAGGGCUGUGAAUGACUGGAGGCAGCUUGUUGAAUGACUCCUUGGCUGAAGGAGGAGCUUGGGUGGGAUCAGACACCAUGUGGCGGCCUCCCUUCAUCUGGUGGAAGUGCCCUGGCUCCUCACGGAGUUGGGGCCUCUGGAGGGGAGCCCCCUAUUCCAGCCCAACCCAUGGCACCCACAGAGGCCUCCUUGCAGGGCAGCCUCUUCCUCUGGGUUGGAGGCUGUGGUGGGCCCUGCCCUGGGCCCUCUGGCCACCAGCGGCCUGGCCUGGGGACACUGCCUCUGGGCUUAGCCUCCCAUCACACCCUACUUUAGCCCACCUUGGUGGAAGGGCCUGGACAUGAUGAGCCUUGCACGGGGAGAAGGUGGCCCCUGAUUGCCAUCCCCAGCAGGUGAAGAGUCAAGGCGUGCUCCGAUGGGGGCAACAGCAGUUGGGUCCCUGUGGCCUGAGACUCACCCUUGUCUCCCAGAGACACAGCAUUGCCCCUUAUGGCAGCCUCUCCCUGCACUCUCUGCCCGUCUGUGCCCGCCUCUUCCUGCGGCAGGUGUCCUAGCCAGUGCUGCCUCUUUCUGCCGCUCUCUCUGUCUUUUGCUGUAGCGCUCGGAUCCUUCCAGGGCCUGGGGGCUGACCAGCUGGGUGGGGGUGCAGCUGCGGACAUGUUAGGGGGUGUUGCAUGGUGAUUUUUUUUCUCUCUCUCUGCUGAUGCUCUAGCUUAGAUGUCUUUCCUUUUGCCUUUUUGCAGUCCCUGUGGGCCUUGCUCAGAGCGGAGAAAGCAUUUGUUUGUACAAGAUCCGCAGACGUGUAAAUGUUCCUGCAAAAACACAGACUCGCGUUGCAAGGCGAGGCAGCUUGAGUUAAACGAACGUACUUGCAGGUUGGUUCCCAGAGGGCAAGCAAGUCAGAGAGGGGCAUCACACAGAGAUGGGGAGAGAGAGAGAAAGAGAGUGAGCGAGCGAGCGAGCGGGAGAGCGCCUGAGAGGGGCCAGCUGCUUGCUCAGUUUCUAGCUGCCUGCCUGGUGACUGCUGCCUUCUCUGCUUUUAAGGCCCCUGUGGUGGGCUGCAGGCACUGGUCCAGCCUGGCGGGGCCUGUUCCGAGGUUGCCCUGGUUGCCUGAGUGGUAGGCUGGUGUGGCUUAGUGUAGUGGUGUGGACGCAAGCUGUGUGUUGUGUCCUGUGGUCCUUCUGCUCAUAGUGGCUGUUGGUCCUGAUGUUAUUACUACCUCUGGUAGUAAUGCUGAGAAGCUGAAAGCCGAUUCCAGGUGUGGACAAUGUCAACAAAGCACAGAUGCUCUCACUGGGGCCUUGCCUCGGCCCUUUGAAGUCUGCAUGGCUGGGCUUCUCACUCACUCAGUGUUUCUUGAUGGGGGAAGGAAUUGAGUCACUUCAGACUGGGCCUCCCCGAGGAAAGGGUUGUGUCUCCCCACUCAGACUGAGGCUCCCUGAAGGUAGGGCUGUGUCUCUCCCCUCCGACCGGGGCUCCCUGAUAGGGCUGUCUCCCCGCUCAGACUGAGGCUCCCUCAGGCCAGGGCUAUGUCUCCCUCCUCAGACUGGGGCUCUGAGGGCAAGGGGUCUGGCUGUUCGUUUAGGAUGGGGCAGUUUUGCCUACACACUGAAGGAGCUGUAGCAUCCAAGAAUACUAGAUACCUUUAAUCCUCCACCAGUCAUGGUGACAACCCCAAGCAGCCCACACAUUUUCAAGUGCCCCCAGGAUGCGUGGAGGGAGGGGUCUGUGCCCAUUCUCCUGACAUUAGACUGUGAGCUCCGUAAGCCCGGGCCUGGUUUACGUACCUUUGUGAGCCCCGGGCAUCUGUACCUCUUUCCUUUGCCCAUAUUGGGGACCAAGGAAGUGUCAAGUGCAUGAGUGAAUGUGUGACUCAGUUCAGAGGGUGAGGUCAGGAGCACAGGGUCGGGACAGGUGGCUGGCAUCUUUUAAUGCCUUAGCUUAUGUUCUUUAUACCAACUUGGCCUGUGCUCAGAGUGAGGGAGGCCCUGGGGGUCAGGGUAAGCGUCAGUCAGGGAGGCAAGACUUUGUGGGGAUUUCCUAGACAGGGCCAAGGCACCCCCAGCUCACCCCGAGGCUGCGUUAGGGAAGUCCUUGGAGUGUCUCCCCUCCCCCAGCAAUGUUCUUGUGGCUUGUGUGUGCUCAGGGGAUGCUGGGAACCAGGCCUGGGUAGUUGGUGUGGGGUGCUGUCUGUCUUGGCCCUAUGUGAAACCAAGAGGGCGUAUAUUAGUGCUGGGGUGGGGGCUCUGCCUAACUUCAGGGCUGGAUGAGGGGAGUCUCAGUUCCCCAGGGGUCCUUGGGAAAGAUAAAGGACUUGACAUUUUAUGGUUUUUAGGUGAUUAUUCUGCUGAUGGGGGUUUGUGUGAAGUGACCUGGGAGCUAACUGAAGUUACUCUAACCUCCCAAUACCUUUACCCAACCCCCAAGCUGGCUGUAUCUGGGAAUAUCAGUUUCCAAAAUUGGAGGCUUAGGACUCCGUUUCGGGGCUCCCCAGAAGGGUAGGGCCUGUUCUGCCUCCUUCUCACAAUCACCCAGGGGCAGGGGCAUGCUGAGAAAGUUCCUGGAGGCCCCCUUUGCUUCAGCUGGAGUAGUGAAGCCACCGAAUUGUCUCUCCCCAUCCUAAGUGAAGCAGCAUAUUUGAAAGGAAAGACAACCUGUUACCUGGGCCUACAACCUCCAGGCAGCUCAAGAGAGAUGAGGCCUACAGCCACACUGGGAGGGGACAUGGGGAAUGGAGAUGGUCCCUCACCUUCCUGGGGCCUCCUGCUCUACGCUACCCCCUCGGGAGCCUCCUGUCCCCAGGGCAGGCCCUUGCCAUUGUUGGUCACCCGGCCAAGCCUCUCUGCCUCAGGCGUUCUCCCAGAUGAUCUGCCCACUCUCUUCCCCACACCAGCCCCUAGAGACUGAACCGAAAAACCUCCUCAGCAGGGAGCCUCUUCUGAUUAACUUCAUCCAGCUCUGGUCACCCAUCAGCUCUUAAAAUGUCAAGUGGGGACUGUUCUUUGGUAUCUGUUCAUUUGUUGCUUUGUAAAGUGUUCCCAUGUCCUUGUCUUGUCUCAAGUAGAUUGCAAGCUCAGGAGGGUAGACUGGGAGCCCCUGAGUGGAGCUGCUGCUCAGGCCGGGGCUCCCUGAGGGCAGGGCUGGGGCUGUUCUCAUACUGGGGCUUUCUGCCCCAGGACCACACCUUCCUGUCCUCUCUGCUCUUAUGGUGCCGGAGGCUGCAGUGACCCAGGGGCCCCCAGGAAUGGGGAGGCCGCCUGCCUCAUCGCCAGGCCUCCUCACUUGGCCCUAACCCCAGCCUUUGUUUUCCAUUUCCCUCAGAUGUGACAAGCCGAGGCGGUGAGCCGGGCAGGAGGAAGGAGCCUCCUUCAGGGUUUCGGGAACCAGAUCUCUCACCAGGAAAGACUGAUACAGAACGAUCGAUACAGAAACCACGCUGCCGCCACCACACCAUCACCAUCGACAGAACAGUCCUUAAUCCAGAAACCUGAAAUGAAGGAAGAGGAGACUCUGCGCAGAGCACUUUGGGUCCGGAGGGCGAGACUCCGGCGGAAGCAUUCCCGGGCGGGUGACCCAGCACGGUCCCUCUUGGAAUUGGAUUCGCCAUUUUAUUUUUCUUGCUGCUAAAUCACCGAGCCCGGAAGAUUAGAGAGUUUUAUUUCUGGGAUUCCUGUAGACACACCCACCCACAUACAUACAUUUAUAUAUAUAUAUUAUAUAUAUAUAAAAAUAAAUAUCUAUAUUUUAUAUAUAUAAAAUAUAUAUAUUCUUUUUUUAAAUUAACAGUGCUAAUGUUAUUGGUGUCUUCACUGGAUGUAUUUGACUGCUGUGGACUUGAGUUGGGAGGGGAAUGUUCCCACUCAGAUCCUGACAGGGAAGAGGAGGAGAUGAGAGACUCUGGCAUGAUCUUUUUUUGUCCCACUUGGUGGGGCCAGGGUCCUCUCCCCUGCCCAGGAAUGUGCAAGGCCAGGGCAUGGGGGCAAAUAUGACCCAGUUUUGGGAACACCGACAAACCCAGCCCUGGCGCUGAGCCUCUCUACCCCAGGUCAGACGGACAGAAAGACAGAUGACAGGUACAGGGAUGAGGACACUGGCUCUGACUAGGAGUUUGGGGAGCUUCAGAACAUUGCUGUGCUUUGGGGAUUCCCUCCACAUGCUGCACGCGCAUCUCGCCCCCAGGGGCACUGCCUGGAAGAUUCAGGAGCCUGGGCGGCCUUCGCUUACUCUCACCUGCUUCUGAGUUGCCCAGGAGGCCACUGGCAGAUGUCCCGGCGAAGAGAAGAGACACAUUGUUGGAAGAAGCAGCCCAUGACAGCUCCCCUUCCUGGGACUCGCCCUCAUCCUCUUCCUGCUCCCCUUCCUGGGGUGCAGCCUAAAAGGACCUAUGUCCUCACACCAUUGAAACCACUAGUUCUGUCCCCCCAGGAGACCUGGUUGUGUGUGUGUGAGUGGUUGACCUUCCUCCAUCCCCUGGUCCUUCCCUUCCCUUCCCGAGGCACAGAGAGACAGGGCAGGAUCCACGUGCCCACUGUGGAGGCAGAGAAAAGAGAAAGUGUUUUAUAUACGGUACUUAUUUAAUAUCCCUUUUUAAUUAGAAAUUAAAACAGUUAAUUUAAUUAAAGAGUAGGGUUUUUUUUCAGUAUUCUUGGUUAAUAUUUAAUUUCAACUAUUUAUGAGAUGUAUCUUUUGCUCUCUCUUGCUCUCUUAUUUGUACCGGUUUUUGUAUAUAAAAUUCAUGUUUCCAAUCUCUCUCUCCCUGAUCGGUGACAGUCACUAGCUUAUCUUGAACAGAUAUUUAAUUUUGCUAACACUCAGCUCUGCCCUCCCCGAUUCCCUGGCUCCCCAGCACACAUUCCUUUGAAAUAAGGUUUCAAUAUACAUCUACAUACUAUAUAUAUAUUUGGCAACUUGUAUUUGUGUGUAUAUAUAUAUAUAUAUGUUUAUGUAUAUAUGUGAUUCUGAUAAAAUAGACAUUGCUAUUCUGUUUUUUAUAUGUAAAAACAAAACAAGAAAAAAUAGAGAAUUCUACAUACUAAAUCUCUCUCCUUUUUUAAUUUUAAUAUUUGUUAUCAUUUAUUUAUUGGUGCUACUGUUUAUCCGUAAUAAUUGUGGGGAAAAGAUAUUAACAUCACGUCUUUGUCUCUAGUGCAGUUUUUCGAGAUAUUCCGUAGUACAUAUUUAUUUUUAAACGACAAAGAAAUACAGAUAUAUCUUAAAAAAAAAAGCAUUUUGUAUUAAAGAAUUUAAUUCUGAUCUC